AUGCUUGAUUUAUCACAACCUUAUAUAUAUAUAUAUAUUCUGAAAAUUGCUAUAACUGGUAAAUGUUAUAAAACGUUAGAGAAAAACCAAAAAAAAAUUACACAGAAAAAUAAAACUCAACAAACCUGCUUCAAACAACGUUCUUCAUUCCACCUCACUUUCAAUUCCAACUAUCGUCUAUAA